GUAGAUAUAGCUCAGUGGUUAAGGGCACUGGCUAUUCUGCCAUUUGACCUGGGUUUGAUUCCCAGCACCCACA
rnacentral:tRNA from 1 species